ACAGGGCACAGCAGCUGCAGCCGCCGGCCGGCGCCAAGAGGGCCGCUCGCUCGCCUGCCUGCCUGCCGUCGCCACCGGCCAUGCGGGGCUUUCAGCGGGUGUCGGGGCUGCUGGCCGCGGCCCUGCGGAGCCAGCGGGUGCCCCGGGCGCGGGUGACCUCCAAGCCCCCCGAGGAGCCGCUCUCCACUGCGGAGCAAGUCAUCGCGCUUUCCGUGAUGUUUUCAUGCUUCCUGAUUCCAACUGCCUGGAUCCUGUCAAACCUGGAGCACUACAAGAGCAAAUCAGACUAAGGAAUGGCGAGAAGAACCUAGAGCCAGUUGAGAGCAGAAGUAUGAGUGAAGAUAAGACUACAGAACAGAUCUUUCCCUGGGGAAAAACUCCUUAAGUUUGUUCAUUAAAAUAGCAUUAAACAUAA